rnacentral:misc_RNA from 1 species
UGAACCUUCUUACAGAAUCAAUGGAGAAGAGAAGACAAAAUCUCAAGCUCGUUCUGGACGAGGAAUUGGAGACCAAGAAAAUAGGGCUGCAUCAAGGUCUACAUCUGAGACCAAAACAGGAGGCAGCCCAAAGACAGACCCCAGGUCUACAUCUGACAUCAAAACAGGAGGUAGCCCAAAGUCAGACCCCAAGGCCAAAGAAACACCAAAAUCUGAAACUAAGGUGGAUGCCAGAAUCCGUGAGACACCAAAUUCCAAUGCCAAGGAGCGCACAGAAGCUGCAACGACAUCCACCUCUGAUCCCAAAGUAGGUGAUAAAAUGCCAGUGAAAUCA